rnacentral:rRNA from 1 species
AGCGAACGCUGGCGGCAGGCUUAACACAUGCAAGUCGAGCGGGCACUUUCGGGUGUCAGCGGCGGACGGGUGAGUAACGCGGGGGAACGUGCCCUCUGGUUCGGAAUAACUCAGGGAAACUUGAGCUAAUACCGGAUACGCCCUUUUGGGGAAAGGCUUGCUGCCGGAGGAUCGGCCCGCGUCUGAUUCGCUAGUUGGUGGGGUAACGGCUCACCAAGGCGGCGACCAGUAGCUGGUCUGAGAGGAUGAUCAGCCACACUGGGACUGAGACACGGCCCAGACUCCUACGGGAGGGAGCAGUGGGGAAUAUUGGACGAUGGGCGAAAGCCUAAUCGAUCCUUGCCGCGUGAGUGAUGAAGGCCGUAGGGUAGUAAGGCUCUGUUACCCGGGAUGAUAAUGACAGUACCGAGAGAAUAAGCUCCGGCUAACUCCGU